rnacentral:sRNA from 1 species
UAUUUGACAGUUGUGGAUGUAGACCUAUC